rnacentral:rRNA from 1 species
AACGAACGCUGGCGGCAUGCCUAACACAUGCAAGUCGAACGAAACCCUCGUGUGUACUUGCGCUCGGGUGCGUAACGCGUGGGAACCUGCCCUUAGGUUCGGAUUAACUCCCCGAAAGUGGGGCUAAUACCGGAUAAUCUCCUCCGACCAAAGAUUGAGCGCCAUUGUAUGGUCCCGCGUUGGAUUAACUAGUUGGUAGGGUAAAAUCCUACCAAGGCGACGGUGCAUAGCUGGUCUGAGAGGAUGAUCCGCCACACUGGGAGUGAGACACGGCCCGGAAUCUUACGCGAGGGAGGCGUGGCGAAUAGUGGACAAUGGGGGGAGGCAUGAUGCAGCACUGACGCGUGAGUGCUGAAGGCAGUAGGGUAGUAAAGAUCUUUUAACCGGGAUGAGAAUGACAGUACCGGGAGAAUAAGCCACGGCUAACUACGUG